GAUUAGUUCCGCAGAGCCACGACACAGUCAGCCUUGAACCAAAUUACUGCCGGCCGUUGUUUAGUUGUUUAGCCAGCGCUGCACCAUUAUGCCUGGAGAAUAUUUACGGUAGCAUCCGACGAGACACUGCAUGGUAAUUCGUGUGGUUGAAGUUGACGAAGUGAACUAAGUGGAUCGAUGGGGAUUACCUAUGGAAAUAUUUUUAGGUUACUUAUUAAAUUGUGCGGCUACGUACGUGAAAACUUCGAGGAGCUGUAUGCAUUUACGCAGUUAUAGCCUUACUGUCGUUUGAAUUUACUUAAGUAGGAAACGACCGAAUGAUGCAGCAAAAGAGUGUCGCGAUUUCCGUUACGCCAGGAGAGAACCAGUUCUUUCUCUUCUUUGGCAGACAGGUAAUACGUCUAAUCAUGGUUCUUCGUGGUGGCUUACGUAACCGCAACACGCAAACGUAUACGUAGCUCGCGCACGGCAUUUUCAAGAGAGAGCUUGGCUGUCUCCUCGCCGACAAGAGGAAGAACUCGCGCGGAGUUUGGUGUACCAGGAAAAAGUUGACGUUUAAAAAAAAAAAGGAACGUCUCGCGCGAUGUGUCCACUUCUACGUGCCGUCGCUGCGAAGAUUCAUGGUUUAAAAACAGUGUUUACGCCUUCCUUUAACCGUCGUUUGAGGAAGCGAAGUUUCAGUGGAAAUGACGACAAGGGAGGGCAAGGAUUGGCCAACCCUGGCGUGAAUGGUAUGCGCUAUGUCCGAAAUAGCCAUGAGCCAAGGCCGCAGGAAACUAUCUCCAAACAAACGUGAUUAUUUAUGGCAUCGAGGAUCGGUAAAGUUUUCUGCAUCGUUUCUAAAGUGAUUGUCACUCGUUAAUUACAAAAAAUUGUAUGCUUGUUCCCAAAGCCACUGGUAGACAGUGAGUAGCGAUAUACGUAUAUAUGCAAUUAUUGUGUCUUGUGUCUCUUGCAUUAACCAGUCGUAAUGAUAAUGGCCGACUCUACCUCUAGAAUCGAAGAGAUCCUGUUGCCCUGUAGCAGAUUCACUUUCGUCUCGCAUUCACGCGAGACUCGUUGCAAUCCAAUACGCCUAUCCUUGAGGACAACAACGUCACGGUUCAACGAGACCAUCUCCCUGGUCCAAUAAGUAAGCCUGGCACGAAUGUCAUAUUGCAACGACCCGCCGUUCGUGCACGAUGGCGUCUCUGUUGGGAUCGACUGCGCAACGCGAGAAGAAGAAACAGCUUUACGGAAGAAGAAAGAGGCGACAGAAAGAGGGAAGGAAUAAAUAAGAAGUGAAAAAAAGACAAGCAAGGGAACAUUGCGUAAUGACGAAAAGAAAUAAACGUUCGAUCAAAGAUACAGCAACCACGUGGCUCACGAAGUUGUGAAUAAUAAAGAGUAGGCGACUGACCGAUUAUCGAAUUCUAUUUACACGCGACGCCGCUAACCUCUGCAUUUGCGUAACCCGGAAAACUAUAAGAUUUUUGCAUAAUACCGAACGAACCGGUUUAACCGAUUCUCUAUUAUCACGAGUCUGGCGAUCGAUAGAUCGUAAGCAGAAAAAAAUAAUUAAAUAGAAAUUCAAUAUCGAACAUCGAAUUAUUGUGAUUAUCGCGUUUCUCUAACCGCAGCCAAUGUGGGCAGGGUCCCAACGGAGAAUGCACUUCCUGCUUAAAUAAUGGAGAUGGGAAAAAAAGAGUGACAGGAAGUACCGGGUAACUUCGUACGGAUUUUACAAUUGCGUUUUUUUGUCCUAGACUCUGCUAAUAUUAAAGUCAAACAUAUAUAUACAUAUAUUUCAUCGCAAAGAGACAAGCGUCAGUCUUCUUUGACUGCUCGUAAAAAUUCUACACGUUUCUUCGAGACGGUGCUGCAUCCAGCGCGCUCUUGUUCACGGCCGACCAAAGCUCAGGGCUCUGCGGUCGAUUCAAUUCGCCCGGUGAAAUAAUGGCGACGCCAGUAGGUAACGCUGACUUACGGCCAGUAAAUCUUGAAUUCUUGUCAGAGUCGGUAUGAUUUGUAUCGCGACGCGUCCCGACGAUCCUCAGUCAAGGUACGAAGAACAACGGUAACGCGAACUGACCACGGCUUUCAACUUAAAUCCAUUAGAAAAUAGUUUCCCGUAAUGGCCGUUGCAGCCGGCGGCAUCUGGAAACGCGCCUUAAGGCUACGAGCGCCACGACAGUGAGAGCGUUACUGUCAUAAGACAUUACAAAACGAUCCUUGCUCUAUGAUAACAAAUGGCCCUAACACACUGCGUGUACUUGGUAAUACAUAUAUUCUUUUUCUCAAGCCACAUAACCGCCGUGUACUCAGAUAUACAGAAUAUUAUCGCACGAUGGAAAUAUUUAGUAAAUUCUCACUGCCAUUGCUCCCAGGUACGUUGCACGAAGUGUUUGGACUCAUCGGCGUAUGUACACAGCUGCGAGCAAGGACACAGAACGGACUGUUCAAAAGUGUGCCCGAGUAUCUUCCGCCGAAAUUCAGACAUUGUUCGUGCCAGACUGUAAAUGCGUGUAUAGACACACACGUGCAUUGAUGAUAAGCAUAAUUAUGCAGAAUGAAGCUGGAGAAGUUCGCAUAACGGGAAUGAGAAGCAGCGAGCCACGAAGUCGUCCUUGGCCGCUCCUCCUGGUAUUAAAUAAACGGCUACCUCCUGGGAAUCAUUUCCUGGACAUGUUCAGCCAAGAGUGUCGGACGGUAUAGCAUUUGAUUGAUAUAUUUGUCCGUGUCUACGACAAUGAUUAUUUUAACCCUGAGGAGGUUCCUUCCCGAACGAUUCACCAGGGUACCGAGGCUCUACGCCAUACGGACGAUCCUAACCUCUUACAGUGAAAUCAACAGUCGGCAUAAGUACCGGUGUAACGGACGAGAGUGAAAGAGGUUUCGCUUUCGUCGGAACAUUCCCACUCCGGGAUUUGUACCUAACCUAACCUACCUGGCUACCUCGUUGCGUUUCCCCGUUACCUGGUGACCUACUCCCAAGGCACGAGCUCACGCUCUGACGCAGACGCACACGCAGCCAUGUCUUAUCCCGCGAGCUUAGAAAGUGAACGUCGUCCUCGUCGUCAUCUUUGGCAGCGGCGAAAGGUGCCUUCCGUGUGUUACUCUACGUGUAUGCACUGCGCCCAGGAGGUUAUCAGGGUUUUGGGAAAGAUGAAAGAAAUUUUCAUAAAUUUUUCAAGACGAUUCAAAAAAGUGUUUUUCUUCCUUUAGAAACGACCUACCGGCAUGAGUCAUUGGAGAUCUUCAUCAGCUCUGCGGAUGCGAGGUCCGACGAGUAGAAUUUCUGUACUUUGGUUAGAAAUUCUAUGCGGCUGGACUUGGAAUCAUUAAACUGUCUUCGCGGAGCAUAAUUCAUGCUCGUUCUAUCUUUUGAUUUGUGCGUCGUAAACCGUUUACGUAUCACGGCACUUGAGCGUGGCGCCUGGGCACAAGGUGGUUUUCAAUGCUGGACGAUAUCGAGAGAUAAGAAUAAAAUGUAUCGAGUCUACGUGUACAGUUUAGUUGCGUACAACAGGCACCUUCUGACACGCAUGCGGAAAGCGAGUCGAGAGUUCCUAGUGAUUUCUCUUAACGCACACGCGAAUAUCCUUCCCGGUUAAGUCCGCCGUGAGGAUAGUGGGGAGGUCCGUAUGCACGGGAUAGUCGGUAUUACAGUUAUAUAUGCCUAUAAAAAUUACACGUUAAUCGAACGGACGGAAUGCGAAAAAAGAAGCUGUCCUGGUAAAAUUGCACUUCCGGAAACACGUCUCCCGAGCAUUUUUCAUGCCGAUCGUGGAAUCCGGGCAAGCACCUAACUCGAGUAAUAUGAAACAUAUACCCAGUGUCAAAUCUGACCUUAAGCUAAUUAUUAAACAGUGACUUAUGGGGUAAUAAAAAAAAGGCCAAGUGUUAUAGUACCAAAACGAUUUCUAUUCCGGUUUUAAAAUAUAACGAGGAUUAGAAAUGACCGUCACUUUUUUAAUUUAAUUCUGGUUUCUCUUUGUCUAAUAUUUCACGACGUUCCUCUUACAGCUGGACGUACGGGCAGACUUUGGAUACAGGAAGACGGGUCUGACGCUACUGUGAGAACUGCGUGUCUGGAUGCUGGAGCGCGCCAGGACCUAUUUGCAAAAAGGUCGAAUCGACUCUUUUUGCUCGACAAUGCUCAGGCAGCAUGUCGUGCGGUGUCUGGGCCCGGCUAGUGAAAGCUGCGGAGCCACUUUCCCCAGGGCGAACGAGCGCUCAGCUGGUUUCCGGGGGCCCCACUAGCCUGGCCCCAGUCCCAUCCAACGCCGUGGUAUCAGACCUCAAUAGAACACAGUUACUCACGUCCCACCAUCGCUCCACUAAAAGUCUUACCGGAACCCUACGGCACCAACCCGAUGAUGCCUCGUGGGCAUGAUUACUGGAAAAGUAUUGAUCUGGCACCUUGUGGAUGGAUUCUGGCGGUAUCAAUUGAUAGUAAUAAAUUAUCCAGGAGCACCGAGUGUCAUUUGGUCUCCCUUUUGGAAUUAUCCAAUUUUUAUGUCAGAUCUCGCUUUUACUUUCUCUGAUUGAUCAUUGACCAAAUAGAAGUAGGUGAUUCCAGGCUCUCUCUAUGAUUAUCCCACUUCGCGAAUGGCGGUCAAGCACAUUCCGUAGGUCAGUUCUGCAUCACUUUCGCUGAUGUCUCUUACGUGUUACCCAACAAUUACGCUGGACGUCGCGACGCGUCCGUCUUGCCCUGUUGGGAUCGUCGACGAUAUGCAAAUAUGAUGAAAUAUUGGAAAAUUUAAUGACGAUUCAUGGAAACCAUUGCAGAUCCAUGAGUUUCGUACGACGACUGUUUACAGGGGGGAAAAUAAUUAUCGUGCCUGUAAUUAUUUUUAAGCGUCCAUGAAGGCUGGUGAUAAUUAACUAUGCCAAGUAGUGGUGAAUUUUAGAUUAAGAUGCAUCGAACAGGUUAAACGAUAACUUGACUUUGUUUAGACUUACGGUUUCCAUUAGAUGGCACGUGGCUGAUAAGAAGCAAUGAUAACGAUAACGCCUAAUAUUUUGGUAACCGAUAUCGAGGACUAGUAAAUAAGUUAAGACGAGCAGCCAUUUUACUUCGACUUCCGAUCAAUCUGAAUUCUUCGGGAUCUGUUUAAAUGGAGUUAACGUAGGUUCGGGCUCGUUGCUUCUUUUUUUUAAGGCCGUUUACAUGCAACUACUUCGUGUAGUUGAGGCUAUACCCGUGGCUGGGUUAGACUGCGGAAGUACCGUGGGUUCUCGGCUUGCGACUCUCUCCUUCCGCUUCUGGAAUGUACCUAACUCCUAAUGCGAGAGAGAGAGGGAGAGGAAGCAGGAGAUACGGAAAUAAAGGAAAAAUGAAAGAGACAGUAUUACCACCUGUUGCUUUUAUCUUCCCAGCUGAAGUCGCUAUGAGGAUAACCUUACUGCGUCAGGUUUGCAGGAUCGUUUCCCAUGUCGCGAAAUUUCACAACUUCGUCGCAUUCCCAUGGAGCUACGGGCGCGGGGAGGGUGGUGGGGUUCAAGAAGGAGGGCCAAUGGUAUUUCUGGGGGGAAAGCGAAAUCCAAUUUGCGACAGAACCUUAAGUCGCUGGGACGGCCAAGCGCGGUUGUCUUUUCACCAGGGUGCUUUUUUCUCAGUUUACAGAAAGUUUGUAAACACGUGUGUAUAUGAACUUUCAUAAAAAUUUCAAAAAGGCCCGUAUCCACGAAGGAUACCCUAAGGUGCGUUUAUCUGGUGAUUUUUCGUGAAAAUAAAAGAUGAAAAAGUAGGGGGAGAAGAGAGAAUAAUAAAAAAAGACUUGCUUCACUUUCAUGAAAUUAAGCAACAAAGCGGCCGUUACCUUAUGACUGGAAUUAUUGUUGUCAAGGCGGUUCACAGACGAGCGACUGGACAAAUAGUACCGAUUAGCUCUGUUCGUGAUCCACGUUAUUCCUAAUAUUCACAUUACGGUCCUUUAAUGGACGAAGCGAAGAUUCGAAGGUUCGUCCUGGUCAGUAUUGACUCGUUUAAAAUAAUUAGCUGCGCAAAAAAAAUUACUCGACCGCAAUUCACUUUCAAAACUUUCUCGGAUAUAGCUCCGGUGUAUACCCGCACAGGCAAUGAGCAUGGCGCUGACAGUUGGUAACCGUGUUAGCUGGCGUUGGGUAGUUCGGGAUGCCGAUUAACGAAACUAAUGAAAAUAAAAAAAGGAAUCACGGCGGUUACGCAAUCGCGGGCAAACGAAAGUGCUCGCUAUGUGAAAUGACGCCUGGAAGGAACUACUUCUCGCCAUCUAGGAGGACUAAUGACAACUAAUUUCAGAUAGCAAUCGUUAAAGGUACCGCGCGCGCGCUCACGUUUCUCCCGCGAAAUAGAGAUCGGGCUUGCGAUGUAUUACCCAGAAUUCUUCGGGGUUUCUUUCGAGAGAAACAAAAUGGCGUCGCUACGUUAUUCGUUCUCACUGGAGCAUGCUGGAGGUGGGAAGCGUUCUUAAAAAUUUUACGGAAAUAAAUAUAAAGAAAAUCGGGGUCACUGGAGGUAACGUUAUAAUAUGUAAGGUUGCAAAAAAUAUCGAUAUCUUCGAAUCGAAAUCUUAUAGAUCGAUCGAUCCUACAGUUAAUUCAAAGAUAACAUACACACUCGGGACUUGUUAGUUGCGUUCACAGCACAGUUGACCUAGUCGGGCUAGUUGGCUGCGUAAUCUAAAAUUAAUUCCCAACAGCUGUUUAACCCAGGGAUAGAUCGACUGUACUGACGGGUUCUCAAAUUAAUUUUUUUCUUUCCAUACAUGUCAAGGUUAUUGCGGGACGUUUUGCGAACGCGGAUGAUUUCACACGGAAGUCAUUACGCGAGUAUAUAAAGUACUCGAAAGAAUUGUCAAUUUUUCGAAUUCAUAUGUAUAUAUAUAUAUUUUUUCCUAAGACAGCGCAGCCGCAUGCGACGUCUGGUAUCGCGAUUUGACAUUUGACUGGCCUCCUUUCUCCGGGGCUGCCACGUGCUCCUGGAUUUGGCUACGAGCGAGAAAGUAGUGUUAGAAGUUACGGCGGAUACCGACGUGAAAUUUGAAAAUACUCGAGCGGCGUCGCGACGCUCAACAAUUCAUUGUACGCGUACAAAAAUUCUGUUGGAUUUCGUAAUGAAAUUAAAAAAAAAUAUUAUCAGAUU